UAGUAAUGGCAGGUCAGCAUACUGCCGUGAAUACGUUCCCGGGCCUUGUACACACCGCCCGUCACACCAUGAGAGUUGGGGAUACCCGAAGCCUGUGAGCCAACUAUAUAGAGGCAGCAGUCGAAGGUAGAAUCAAUGAUUGGGGUGAAGUCGUAACAAGGUAUC
rnacentral:rRNA from 1 species